rnacentral:misc_RNA from 1 species
GAGCAAGGUUUCUUGGAGUGAUACUGUUCAUGCAGGUUUUCCAGGAAGAGAGUUCUUGGAUGGAAAAUGAGCAGCAGUGGAUUGUUGUUGAGGAUGAGUAGUUGUGGAAGGAUUUUUAGCUCUUUCAUUGACAGUAGUUGUGGAACCUUCACUGCUAUGACCCACCACUGCUAUUCCUGCGUUUGCCUGUACUAAUGGCUCUCCUAGCCGCCCAUCGCCAGUCAGUAUCUCCG